UUUUGCUGAUAAUUUACUCCCCUUCAUGUCAUCCAAGAUGUCCAUGUCUUUCUUUCUUCAGUCGAAAAGAAAUUAAGGUUUUUGAUGAAAACAUUCCAGGAUUUUUCUCCAUAUAAUGCACUUUACUGGGCACCAAACGGUCCAAGGUCCAAAAGACAGUUUCAGUGCAAACUGCAAACUGUUCAAAUGGUUUUAAAUGACACCAGACGAUGAAUAAGGGUAUUAUCAAGCGAAACGAUCGCUCAUUUAAAAAAAAAAAAUAACAACGUUUAAGUUUUAUAAGCUCACAUGCUCGCCUUGCUCUGUUCUGUGUGACUCUCCUGUUCGAACUCGUUCAUCAAAAUGAACAAAUCUUUUUCCGAGUCAAUUCGUUCAUUUCGGUCGUUAAAUGAAUCAAAUGACUCGAAAAAAGAUUCGAACAGGAGAGUCACGAACGUGCAUCACAGAACAGAGCAAGGCGGGCAUUUGAGCUUAUAAAACUUAAACUUUGUUAUUUAUUUUUUAAAUGAGCGAUCGUUUCGCUUGAUAAGACCAUUAUUCAUCGUCUGGAAUCGUUUAAAGCCCUUUGAACAGUUUGCACUGAAACUGUCUUUUGGACCUUGGACCGUUUGGUGCCCAGUAAAGUGCAUUAUAUGGAGAAAAAUCCUGGAAUGUUUUCAUCAAAAACCUUAAUUUCUUUUCGACUGAAGAAAGAAAGACAUGGACAACUUGGAUGACAUGGGGGUGAGUAAAUUAUCAGCAAAAGUUUUUUUAAAAGUGAACUACUCCUUUAAGUUUUUUGUGCCAACCAACAAUUUGCUUAUUUUUAGUCGUCUCUGCAUAUUCAGCUGGAAUAGGAAAGUAUUAUAACAUUGGAAUAUAAUUAAUUUAGGUUAAUUUGUGCAUUAGUGUCAUUCUCUCAACUCCAAAUUUAAAGGUGCAGUCACGGUUUAAUCAGGCUAAUGAACUAUGACUUAGAUUGAUGAUUAUUAUUUAUUAUCUGAUUAGUAUUUAUUGAACAAUGGUCACUUUUAUCACAAAGAUGAUGUCAGUAUUUUAUAAAAAAAAACACUCUUGAUUGUGUCGCUUUGAUUUAUUGCACUGCAAACCAUCUCUGAUGAGAUACAAGGUCAAUCUGUGAUGUUUUGGGCGAAACAUCUUCUCCCUAUACAAAUUUACAGGUCACCAAAUAUGAGCAACGACUGAUGAAUCAUCAAACUUGUGUUUCCACUUUUUCUCUGGAUUGAACGGAAGUGAUUGGAAGGGUAGCUGGACUGCACCUGUACAUAUUUUACCAUGUUUAACUCUAAUCUAGCGCAGAAAUGUGAGCAGAUUCUGUCUUGGCCUGAUUAUUUGCUUCAGUGUUGGCGCUGAAUGAUGAUUAUGUCCAUCAUAGCCCUGAGUGAUGUAGCCAAUCAGAGCUCCCUUCAUUGCUGCACAUGCUCAGUCAUGCAAAACGCUUCAUGUGACAUUUCAUAAACAUUAAGGAACUGAAGUGGGAAAAUACUUAAAUAGCACACAGGAUUAAAUUUUAAAUAGUCAUUAUACUUGAAAUACUUGCCAUUCGGUGACUGGUUGAGUGGACAUGUGGAGUGUGCUGUGGUUCGAGCAUGUCUCUCUGUGCCAUGUUGGACUUGCCUUUAAUAAACCCCGUCACACCUGAACUCUUCCUCAGCCACUGCCCUCUGGGUCACUUUUCGGACCUGUUUGACUGUGCCGGUUCUUUCCCUCUGCUCAUCUUCUGUUUAUGUGCCCUGUUUCCUAUCAGGUGUAAAAAUGAGAAUUCACUGUUUCUGUGAUCCAUGAUAAUGUACCAUCUGAAAUAAAAGAAAACAAAUCAGC